rnacentral:rRNA from 1 species
UACGUAGGGUCCGAGCGUUGUCCGGACUUACUGGGCGUAAAGCGCACGUAGGCGGCUUUGUAAGUUAGAGGUGAAAGCCCGGGGCUCAACUCCGGAACUGCCUUUAAGACUGCAUCGCUUGAAUCCAGGAGAGGUGAGUGGAAUUCCGAGUGUAGAGGUGAAAUUCGUAGAUAUUCGGAAGAACACCAGUGGCGAAGGCGGCUCACUGGACUGGUAUUGACGCUGAGGCGCGAAAGCGUGGGGAGCAAACAGG